UACGUAGGGUGCAAGCGUUAAUCGGAAUUACUGGGCGUAAAGCGUGCGCAGGCGGUGCUGUAAGACAGGCGUGAAAUCCCCGGGCUUAACCUGGGAAUGGCGCUUGUGACUGCAGCGCUGGAGUGCGGCAGAGGGGGAUGGAAUUCCGCGUGUAGCAGUGAAAUGCGUAGAGAUGCGGAGGAACACCGAUGGCGAAGGCAAUCCCCUGGGCCUGCACUGACGCCCAUGCACGAAAGCGUGGGGAGCAAACAGG
rnacentral:rRNA from 1 species